GUGAACGCUGGCGGUAGGCCUAACACAUGCAAGUCGAACGGCAGCACAGUAAGAGCUUGCUCUUACGGGUGGCGAGUGGCGGACGGGUGAGGAAUACAUCGGAAUCUACUUUUUCGUGGGGGAUAACGUAGGGAAACUUACGCUAAUACCGCAUACGACCUACGGGUGAAAGCAGGGGAUCUUCGGACCUUGCGCGAUUGAAUGAGCCGAUGUCGGAUUAGCUAGUUGGCGGGGUAAAGGCCCACCAAGGCGACGAUCCGUAGCUGGUCUGAGAGGAUGAUCAGCCACACUGGAACUGAGACACGGUCCAGACUCCUACGGGAGGCAGCAGUGGGGAAUAUUGGACAAAGGGCGCAAGCCUGAUCCAGCCAUACCGCGUGGGUGAAGAAGGCCUUCGGGUUGUAAAGCCCUUUUGUUGGGAAAGAAAAGCAGCAGGUUAAUACCCCGCUGUUCUGACGGUACCCAAAGAAUAAGCGCCGGCUAACUCCGUG
rnacentral:rRNA from 1 species